AGGAAUAUUGGUCAAUGGACGAGAGUCUGAACCAGCCAAGUAGCGUGAAGGAUGACUGCCCUAUGGGUUGUAAACUUCUUUUAUACGGGAAUAAAGUGAGGCACGUGUGCCUUUUUGUAUGUACCGUAUGAAUAAGGAUCGGCUAACUCCGUGCCAGCAGCCGCGGUAAUACGGAGGAUCCGAGCGUUAUCCGGAUUUAUUGGGUUUAAAGGGAGCGUAGGCGGACGCUUAAGUCAGUUGUGAAAGUUUGCGGCUCAACCGUAAAAUUGCAGUUGAUACUGGGUGUCUUGAGUACAGUAGAGGCAGGCGGAAUUCGUGGUGUAGCGGUGAAAUGCUUAGAUAUCACGAAGAACUCCGAUUGCGAAGGCAGCUUGCUGGACUGUAACUGACGCUGAUGCUCGAAAGUGUGGGUAUCAAACAGGAUUAGAUACCCUGGUAGUCCACACAGUAAACGAUGAAUACUCGCUGUUUGCGAUAUACAGUAAGCGGCCAAGCGAAAGCGUUAAGUAUUCCACCUGGGGAGUACGCCGGCAACGGUGAAACUCAAAGGAAUUGACGGGGGCCCGCACAAGCGGAGGAACAUGUGGUUUAAUUCGAUGAUACGCGAGGAACCUUACCCGGGCUUAAAUUGCAACUGACGGAUUUGGAAACAGAUCUUCCUUCGGGCAGUUGUGAAGGUGCUGCAUGGUUGUCGUCAGCUCGUGCCGUGAGGUGUCGGCUUAAGUGCCAUAACGAGCGCAACCCUUAUCUUUAGUUACUAACAGGUCAUGCUGAGGACUCUAGAGAGACUGCCGUCGUAAGAUGUGAGGAAGGUGGGGAUGACGUCAAAUCAGCACGGCCCUUACGUCCGGGGCUACACACGUGUUACAAUGGGGGGUACAGAAGGCAGCUACACAGCGAUGUGAUGCUAAUCCCAAAAGCCUCUCUCAGUUCGGAUUGGAGUCUGCAACCCGACUCCAUGAAGCUGGAUUCGCUAGUAAUCGCGCAUCAGCCACGGCGCGGUGAAUACGUUCCCG
rnacentral:rRNA from 1 species